GCUGCUCCCCAUCGGGGUCCUCCAGAGAUGGUGUUGAUGAUCCCAGUUGGAGGUCGAUCUUUAGGCUGUUCUUCCCUCCUUAGCGGCUCUGGCUGUGGUAGGGCCCUCGGCCGAUCCUCCCUACCUUCAGGUCGACGUCGGAUGAAUCUGUUGAGCCGACCUCGUCUGAUGAGCUCCUCGAUCCGCCAGUUCAUUUCUUGGAACCUUUGUCCCAGGAGGUCCUCUCGACUGCGAGUCUCGAGAGUCUUCUGGUAGAACGAAGGUAGAGACCCUCCGUU
rnacentral:lncRNA from 1 species